rnacentral:lncRNA from 1 species
GGAUUGGAACUCUAAAGGAUGAAGCUUGUGAUUUUUCAGACAUGAUUGUGUUUAAGAUCUCACUGUAGUAAUCUUAACAGAGCUGGCUCUGAUACCACUUGUUAGGUCCUAUAUUUUCACUAUAUAGAAUGAUAUAGUGAUCACAAUCUGUAACACAGUAAGACAAUAUAAGAGAUCGAAAGCAGUAAACUCUUAUAUUCACAAAGCUUUAAUAGUUACAAAAACUCUCUCAGUGAUUUAUAUUGUAUCACUAAGAGCUGCUAGGGUUCUUAACAAUGUACUCGAUAACUCAACUCAUAUAGAGUAACCC